CACCGAGGGAGGGGUUCGCGUUCUAUCAGGUUGUUGGUGAGAUAACAGCUCACCAAGCCUAUGACGGAUAGCUGGCCUGAGAGGGCGAUCAGUCCGAGGGACACUGAGACACGGGUCCCACUCCUACGGGAGGCAGCAGGCUAGAAAUUUGGGCAAUGGUCGAAAGGCUGACCCAGCGACGCUGCGUGUGGGAUGAAGCCCCUCGGGGCGUAAACCACUUUUCAGAAGGAAGAGGGUUCAUGCGGUUAAUACCCGUAUGGAUUGACGGUACUUCUGGAAUAAGCUCUGGCUAACCCCGUGCCAGCAGCCGCGGUAAGACGGGGAGAGCAAGCGUUGCCCGGAAUCAUUGGGCUUAAAGGGGGCGUAGGCGGUUAGGUAUGUCAGGCGUGUAAAUUAUCGGCUCAACUGAUAACCUGCGUUUGAAACUACCUAGCUAGAGGGCGAAAGAGGAGAGCGGAACUCCCGGUGUAGCGGUGAAAUGCGUAGAUAUCGGGGGGAACACCAGCAGCGAAGGCGGCUCUCUGGUUCGAUCCUGACGCUGAGGCCCGAAAGCCAGGGUAGCGAAGGGAAUUAGAUACUCCCGUAGUCCUGGCCGUAAACGAUGAGCACUUGGUGUGGGGGGUUUAACCCUCUGUGCCGUAGGGAAACCGUUAAGUGCUCCGCCUGGGAAGUACGCUCGCAAGGGUGAAACUCGAAGGAUUGACGGGAGCCCGCACAAGCGGUGGAGCGCGUGUUC
rnacentral:rRNA from 1 species